GGUGAGAUGGCCGAGCGGUCUAAGGCGCCAGACUAAGGCUUCACAUUCCUUCAUCUGGUCUCUUCGGGGGCGGGAGUUCGAAUCUCCCUCUCAUCA